rnacentral:rRNA from 1 species
UCGAGAAUUUUUCUCAAUGGGGGCAACCCUGAAGGAGCGACGCCGCGUGGAGGAUGAAGGUCUUCGGAUUGUAAACUCCUGUCAUUAGGGAACAAGCUGUCGCGAUCAACUGUCGCGGCAUUGAUAGUACCUGAAGAGGAAGAGACGGCUAACUCUGUGCCAGCAGCCGCGGUAAUACAGAGGUCUCGAGCGUUGUUCGGAUUCAUUGGGCGUAAAGGGUGCGUAGGUGGCGGGGUAAGUCAGGUGUGAAAUCCCGGGGCUCAACCCCGGAACUGCAUUUGAUACUGCCUUGCUCGAGUACUGGAGAGGAGACUGGAAUUUACGGUGUAGCAGUGAAAUGCGUAGAUAUCGUAAGGAAGACCAGUGGCGAAGGCGAGUCUCUGGACAGUUACUGACACUGAGGCACGAAGGCCAGGGGAGCAAACGG